rnacentral:rRNA from 1 species
AACGAACGCUGGCGGCGUGCUUAACACAUGCAAGUCGAACGCGAACGUCUUCUUCGGAAGGCUAGUAGAGUGGCGCACGGGUGAGUAACGCGUAAGUAACCUGUCCUGGCAUUCGGGAUAACCCACCGAAAGGUGUGCUAAUACCGGAUACGUCGUGAUCAAUAUCUUUUAUUACGAGAAAGGUGGCCUCUGAUAUAAGCUACUGUGCGAGGAGGGGCUUGCGUACCAUUAGCUAGUCGGUAGGGUAACGGCCUACCGAGGCGACGAUGGUUAGCGGGUCUGAGAGGAUGAUCCGCCACACUGGAACUGGAACACGGACCAGACUCCGUACGGGAGGCAGCAGUGAGGAAUAUUGCGCAAUGGGGGCAACCCUGACGCAGCGACGCCGCGUGGAUGAUGAAGGCCUUCGGGUUGUAAACAGCUGUCGUAGGGGAGGAAAUUUUGACCGAUCCUAGGAGGAAGCACAGGCUAAGUUCGUG